CCACAGAUCAGAGAGCUCUGCUGAACUUCCUAAAUGCCAGUGAGCCUGAGAUGCUGGAUGUGUGGGAGCUGGAGAGCUCUGAGCAUCCUGAGAGCUCAGCAGCUUCUGGGCUCAAAGGCUGCUAGGGAACUGUAGGAGGGAAGGGCAGCAGCAGAAGAAAUGAGGGGUUAAGAAAAGCAGGUUUUGCCAUCCUGCAGAAUGGCUUUGUGGGGACGUGGCUGGAAAUCAGCAGUGGUUGUUAGGUGCUUUAGGGGCAGGGAGUUUAUAGGGAUCUAAACGCCUUCCCAUACAUCCAAAAGGCCAGUGGAGGCAUCGUCACCUGAGAACAUCUUGAUGCCAAACCUGUGGAUAAUUCCCAGCUGGGAAUGCAGUCACACUUGUACAGAAGUGAGCAUGAGGGGAGAGGUGGUAAAUGUGUGACAUGAUCUCUCCCCCACCACCUGCCUGUCCUAGGGCACCAUUCUCCAUCCUGGGCCAAGCUGCUCCAUCAGUCUGACUGGUCAUUUGCUGCCAGGUCCCAGUGAAGUCCAUAGCUGAAUGUCUUGGGGCAUGUGUGGGGGCAAGACUGGAUGCGUAAAGUGAGCACUGUGUUCUACUCUUUGCAGGCUUCCUUGCUGUAUCCCACUGAAGGGGAUAAGAAGAAGGAAUCACUGGGACUGCCUUUGAUCCCCCCGAUACGCAGGGCAGUAAGUCCCGAUGUUAGCAGUGCUGCAGGGUCUCUGCAAAGCUCUCUGCAGCUGGAUGUGCAAGAGUCCCAGGAGAUGAGGUCCACACCCAGCAGCAGAAGUGAAGAUGACGACUCUGAAGAAGGAGGGCUGACUAGGUUCAUUUUUUCCGAAUCUUUCCGGCUAUCUCCUUCUAUGCUCCUUCCCUCCGAGCCGUUGCCUCCCAUCCGGAAAACCUCUCAGUCUUCCAACAGAAGAGAAAUGUGCAGCUUUGAGACGGAGAGUGGGAAAAAUGGCAGUGGCUAUGAUGAAGACACCAGAGAAAGAGAGGAGCUGAAGUCAAAGGGAAAAAGUUGUAAGGCUUCCUUGCUGUAUCCCACUGAAGGGGAUAUGAAGAAGGAAUCACUGGGACUGCCUUUGAUCCCCCCAAUACGCAGGGCAGUAAGUCCUGAUGUUGGCAGUGCUGCAGGGUCUCUGCAAAGCUCUCUGCAGCUGGAUGUGCAAGAGUCCCAGGAGAUGAGGUCCACACCCAGCAGCAGAAGUGAAGAUGAUGACUCUGAAGAAGGAGGCCUCCCACUGAGCCAAGCCAAGGGGACAGAUCGUCCCACCAGUCCUGGUCAUAUGAGUGAUGAAGACCUGAGGGACAGCUCUGGAAAGAUCCGUCCUGCAUUGUGCAAGUUGGCUCAAAAGAACUUAGAGCGGAAGAAAAUGGAGCUGUUGGAGAAAGAGCUCAAGAGAAGGAGACAAACAGAAACAUCCUUGCAGCUGCCUCCACAGACAGCUGACCCUGGGGAUGCAGAAGAAGCAAGCUUUAGCCUACCGCCUGUCGAUGGCACAGCUUCCAGUGUGCGGAGAAAAUACCCUGGUAGUGCCUUGAAGGAGAAGGUCUUGAGGAAGCAGAACAACAUGCCCUCACUGCCCAAUAUGCCCAUCAUCCAUGGGAUUGGCAGCUUCCCACGCAACUCCUCAGGUAAGCCUGCUCUGAGGCAGCUUUUUCCCACACGGGUUUUUCCUUGCCCAUGGGGCACAAACUGCCACCUGCCUCACCCAGCACAGCUGGGAUCUUGGGUCCAUAGCCUGUCCUGAGAAUGAACAGCAAAUGUACUUCUGAGUUAGUCCAGCUCUGCAGUAGUGGAGCAGUUGGUUCUUAGAGAUCCAUUGGGAAGUUGAGCUGAAUAAAGUAGUGGUAAAGGCCUAAGCUCUGGCUUUU
ensembl:lncRNA uncharacterized LOC111932519